UGAUGGGUAGCUGGACUGAGAGGUUGAACAGCCGCAAUGGGAUUGAGAUAUGGCCCAUAUUCCUACGGGAAGCAGCAGUGAGGAAUUUUUCACAAUGGACGAAAGUCUGAUGGAGCAAUACCACGUGAACGAUGAAGGUCUUCUGAUUGUAAGGUUCUUUUAUUUAGGAAAAAAAGCGCGCUAGGAAAUGAGCGCGCCUUGAUGGUACUAAUUGAAUAAGUGACAGCUAACUAUGUGCCAGCAGCUGCGGUAAAACAUAGGUCACGAGCAUUAUCCGGAUUUAUUGGGCGUAAAGGAAGCGUAGGUGGGGAGGUUGAUCCAUUGUUAAAGGCAUUUGCUUAACAAAUGUGUGCGAUGGAGAUCGCCUUCCUAGAGUUAAUCAGGGGGUACUGGAAUUCAAUGUGUAGCGGUGGAAUGCGUAGAUAUAUUGAGGAACACCAGAGGCUAAGGCGAGUACCUAGGAUAUAACUGACACUGAGGCUUGAAAGCGUGGGGAGCAAAUGGGAUUAGAUACCCCAGUAGUCCACGCCGUAAACGAUGG
rnacentral:rRNA from 1 species